ACUGCUAUCGGGAUAGGACUAGACAUGCUAGUUGAGCGCUUCGAGCCAUGUUGAGAGCGCGGCAUACAGCUCAGUAACACGUGGCUAACCUGCCCUUGGGACGGGAUCACCCCCGGGAAACUGGGGCUAAUCCCCGAUAGGUGAAGAACUCUGGAAUGAGUCUUUGCUCAAAGGGCGCCAGAUCAUGCUUCUGGUGUCGCCCAAGGAUGGGGCCGCGACCGAUCAGGUUGUUGGUGAGGUAAUGGCCCACCAAGCCUAUAACCGGUGCGGGCCGUGAGAGCGGGAGCCCGGAGAUGGGCACUGAGACAAGGGCCCAGGUCCUACGGGGCGCAGCAGUCGCGAAAACUUUGCAAUACACGAAAGUGUGACAGGGUUAUCCCGAGUGCCGACCGCUGAGGUUGGCUUUUACCCAGUCUAGAAAGCUGGGGGAAUAAGGAGAGGGCAAGUCUGGUGUCAGCCGCCGCGGUAGUACCAGCUCUCCGAGUGGUGUGGACGUUUAUUGGGCCUAAAGCAUCCGUAGCUGGCUGAACAAGUCCCCUGUUAAACCCACCGAUUUAAUCGUUGGCGUGCGGGGGAUACUGCUCGGCUAAGGGACGAGAGAGGCAGACGGUAUUCCCGGGGUAGGGGUGAAAUCCUAUAAUCCCAGGAAGACCACCAGUGGCGAAGGCUGUCUGCUAGAACGCGCCCGACGGUGAGGGAUGAAAGCUGGGGGAGCGAACCGGAUUAGAUACCCGGGUAGUCCCAGCUGUAAACGAUGCAAACUAGGUGUUUGGACGGCCACGUGCCGUUCUAGUGCCGCAGGGAAGCCGUUAAGUCUGCCGCCUGGGGAGUACGGUCGCAAGACUGAAACUUAAAGGAAUUGGCGGG
rnacentral:rRNA from 1 species